rnacentral:lncRNA from 1 species
AUUCUAACUGAACCAUCUUACCAUAGAAAGGUCUGCGUGCUUAAUAUCGGCUGAAGAGCUAUUGUCCUUAACAGUACCUGCCAUGCAAUCGAUCAUCUCUACCCUGAAAAACUCACCGGCUUUAACUUGUGCUACUGAUGGUAUCUCAGGAUGCCAUCUGUUAUGCAGUGGCUGUUCUUGCUCCCAUGGCUUCUUCUUCAGAUCAACCUUCACCACCACUCUUGGAGUCGACGGAGCCAUCAAAGUCUAGUAAGUUAUGUGAUCUUCUUUCUUCUCUGUUUGUUCACACUUCCUCUCUAUAUCUCAACUUCAAUAAUCUAUAUCUUUUUUUUUCCUUUGUUACAGUGAAAAUAUGGAACCAAUGGUUGUUGGGGAUACGUUAUCUUAUCUUACCACAACUAAAACGCCAG